CUUGUGUUACCUGGUCUUACAUGUACAGGUGUGUCUCAUGUUACCUGGUCUUACCUGUACAGGUGUGUGGCAUGUUACCUGGUCUUACCUGUACAGGUGUGUCUCUGGUUAACUGGUCUUACCUGUACAGCUGUGUCUCAUGUUACCUGGUCUUACCUGUACAGCUGUGUCUCAUGUUACCUGGUCUUACCUGUACAGGUGUGUCCCAGGAGUCGCUCGCACUCGUCCUCUGAGAACCAGACGAGCUGUAGUGGAAGCUCUCCGUCCCCCCCUGCAGGAGGCCGGGGGAACUACAGCCAGACCCCCUGGUGAGG
ensembl:lncRNA